AUUUAGUUAGUUUGUUUAAUGGACCCAAACCUUCUGGCCCGUGGGGCGGUCAGCUCCGCUCAUUAACUAAAAACACAAACAAGAAACGCCCCAAAUCUAAAACCCUACACAAAAUCAAGUGCCAUCAUGAGACGAUCUCUGCUAAAAAAUCUCUCUGUUUACACUCGAAAUGUUCUUCAUUCCUCUUCAAAUGCCGGCCCCAAAAUCCCUAAUCCUUCUCUCCCCAAUUUUACUCGGUCCGCUCUCAGGCUUUACUCGUCCGGUGAAAACCCGACAUCACCAUCCCCUGAAUCAACGCUGCUAGCACAACUCAAAAAGAAGGAUGAUUCUGUCGAGGUUGAGGAUGUCAGUAACAAAGAGCUGAAAGAGCUAAUGGAUAAGUACUUCAAGGGGGAUGAGGAGGUGCUUCCUUCAAUUAUGGAAAAAAUUUUACACAGGAGGUUGUCCGGAAAGCAUGAGGAGACAGAUGAUGAGUUGAUGGAAGAAUUUCGUAUGAAGCCACUGGAUGAUGUGAAGGACAAAGAGUUUGAGUCAGAUUUUGAGGAGCUGUAUCAGACGGAUGAGGAGAUUGAUGAUUUGUAUAAUGCCAAGGAACAUGUGACGAAGAAAAUGGUGAAGGAUGAGUACUUUAACAUGGAUGACAAGAAAUGGGACGAGAUGAUUAAGGAGGCAAUGGAACAUGGAUUUUUAAAGAACACAAGGAAAUGUGAGGAAAUUCUGCAGGAUAUGCUUAGCUGGGAUAAGCUUCUUCCAGAUGACAUCAAGGAAAAGGUGGAAAAGAAGUACAAUGAGCUGGGGGAUAUGUGUGAAAGAGGCGAGGUUGAAGCUGGAGAAGCAUAUAAGCUGUUCAAGCAAUUUGAGGAUGAGAUAGUCAUGGAAUAUGAAAAGAGAAUGGAAGCCAAGGGCCCCCCACAAUUUGAUGAAACUAUGAUGCCAGACAAGAAAGAAGACUUGGAUGACCCACCAGCUGAGGGACCAAUUCUUAGGUGGCAAACACGAGUAGUCUUAGCUCCAGGAGGUGAUGCAUGGCAUCCCAAAAACAGAAAAGUGAAAAUGGCCGUUACUGUCAAAGAGCUUGGUCUUUCAAAACAUCAAUUUAGACGGUUGAGGGAACUGGUUGGUAAACGAUACCAUCCAGGUAGAGAUGAACUUACAAUCACAAGUGAGAGGUUUGAACAUAGGGAGGAAAACAGAAAAGAUUGCCUUAGGACUCUGUUUUCGCUCAUUGAGGAAGCUGGGAAAGCUAACAAGUUGGCAGAGGACGCUCGAGCCUCAUAUGUGAAGCAAAGACUUAAAGCUAAUCCAGCUUUUAUGGAGAGGUUGCAGGCAAAGAUAAGGAAACAAGUAUCUAACACCAUCUCUGCAUGAGCAAUUUAGAUUCAGGAGAUUCCUGAUAUUCAUCUGAUCUAGUUGUUGGUAUUUUGCAUUAUUGUCCCUUACCAAAAUUUUGGUGGCAAAACUAUUAUUAUUUUUGCAUGCUGUUGAUGUAGUUAAUCAAUUGACAAAUGCCCUUCUUGCUGUUGCUGGGAGAAUUCACUCGUUGGCCUUUC
rnacentral:misc_RNA from 1 species